CAUCCUUGUAAGCAGAGAUGAAGAGUCCUCAGCUUUCUGCCUUCUCCAUGACUGGCUUACCACAGAGAAAGAAGUGAAGGGUAAGAGCCCACCCCAACUGUGAGAUGGAAGGCGCCCAAGAGCCGUGAGACAGUGAGCGUUGUUGAUUCCAGGCUAUGCAGAUGCCAUGAAGCUGGGAGUGGAGCAGAUGUCACCAUCAGUGAGAUAAGUGUCUGGUUUCGUGAGGACUCUUGUAACGGUCCACCUGCCUCCAGGCCAGGACUUGUCGUUAGCUGGGGCUGAGUUUGUAGGAAAAGGUUCCUGAAUAGCUGUAGUUACGAGGGAGACAAGGUCCCCAUUUUCAGGGGCUGGUCAUUUCUCUGUCCACAAGCAGUGUGUUCUCUGCAGCAGAAGGUUGGAUCCAGGGGGAUGACUCCAGCUGGUGAGUUUCUUGACUUCCUCCCACGUUUUUCUCUCUGUCUCUCUCUCCUCUAAUGUGUUGGCCAACACACUCUCUGUCUGUCUCUGUCCUUGCCUCUCCUUGUCCUGUCUCCUUUCGUAGGACAUGGGUAGGUGUGGUAGCUGUGCGUCCCCACAGACUAGGUCUUGGGAGCGAUGAACAAGUAGGAGGGGACCAAAAUCACACAGGGUGGUGGGCAGUAGAGUGCAGCGGUGACUGUGGGUGUUGACGGAGUCUCUGCUCUAGUGGGGCUGAUGUGGAUGGCGUGGGACAGGGAGGUAGGGAUGAGGGCAAGAUUUCAUGCACCAGUUGCAUUUUGUGUAGUGAUGGCUUUUUCUUGGUUUACUUACUGCAUUCGCAGAGGAAUCAUCCAGGAGCAGCAGCCGGAGGAGAAAUUGGCAGAAGUAGACCUGAGCCGCCUGGAAAUCCUCUUAAGUGGAGAUCAACAGUCCUCAGCUUUUUGCCUCCCACAUAACUGCCUUACCAAGGGAAAAGAAGUCACGUGUCAGAGUCUACUGCCUUCAUGUCAUGGAAAGCGAGCGAGAGCGAUGGGACCUCAAGAACUACUGAUGCCAAGGAAAAGCCGUCCUACUGGGAGUGGAACAGUCGCCACUCUCAAUGAGAUAACUGUCUGUUUUGGUGAUUGCUCUGCUCACGGCCCACCUUGCUCCUGCUGCGCUUGCAGAGGAAUUGUCCAGGAGUCCCAGGCGGAGCAGAAACUGGAGGAGGUGGAUCUGAGCAGCUUGGACAUCCUUCUAAGGAGACAUUCAGAAUGCAGAAAGCUGAGGACUGUUCAUAACUGGCUGUGAGUAAGAGUGCUGAGGAAAAAAGUCACACGUUAGAUUCUACUGCCCUCAUGCGAUGGAAAGCGAGCGAGAGGGAUGAGACUGCGAGCAGUGUUCAUGCCAGGCAAGAGUAAUUCAUCUGGGAGCUGAGCAGACCCCACUGUCGCUGAGAUAAGUGUCUGUUUUGCUGAGGGUUCU